GCCUGGGUGGCUCAGUCGGUUGAGCGUCCGACUUCGGCUCAGGUCAUGAUCUCAGUUCGUGGGUUCAAGCCCCGCCUCGGGCU
rnacentral:tRNA from 1 species